rnacentral:sRNA from 1 species
CGGCCUGGACCCGGCGGGCGCACGGCUCCGAGCCCAGCGCAGCCGAGCCGGUCUGCAGAGGGUCCCCCAGAACUUUGUGUGUGUGUGUGUGUGUGUGUGUGUGUGUGUACGCGCGCGCGCGUGUGUGUGCCCAGGUGCGAGGGUGCGCGCGUGUGCUGGCGGGGAGGGAACCGACCCGAAAGAGAGCCCCAGGCUGGCAAAGUGGCUCGCCCAUCUCACAGCCCGUUGGCGCUCGCGGAGGAGACAUAUACUGCCUGGACUGCCUGGCUGAUGUGAGCUAGUUUGUCUGGUUGAGUUGGAUGUUUAAAUAGAAGGCAGAACAACAACAGAAGCUUUGAGGAAGAGCCAUAACUACCUGGAGCAGAAUGAUAAUUUGGAGCCACAGAAAAUCAUUUUAGGGAGCAGUGGGUCCAGAUUCAGUGUUGUGUGUUCAACUCGGAAAGAACACACUUGUGUGGCUGACCGGGUUACUUCUCCCCUGUGCCUCUGCUUGCAUUGGUCAUUCUUAGGUCAGGCAGGGGUUUGGCCACAGUGUUAGACAUUGGCCCUGCAUUGAUCCUCACAUAGUAACAUCUUGUUUGGUUAUUAAAGUGGCUGAAUUGUUGC